rnacentral:tRNA from 1 species
UCCCUGGUGGCUCAGUGGUAAAGAAUCUGCCUGCAAUGCAGGAGACCUGGGUUCAAUCUCUGGCUUGGGAA